CGUGCCUAAUACAUGCAAGUCGAACGGUCUUUCUAUGGAAGCUUGCUUCCACUGAGAAGAUAGUGGCGAACGGGUGAGUAACACGUGGGUAACCUGCCCAUAAGAGGGGGAUAACAUCCGGAAACGGGUGCUAAUACCGCAUAGUUUUCUUGAUCGCAUGAUCGGGAAAGGAAAGACGGCCUUUGUGCUGUCGCUUAUGGAUGGACCCGCGGCGUAUUAGUUAGUUGGUGAGGUAACGGCUCACCAAGACGAUGAUACGCAGCCGACCUGAGAGGGUGAUCGGCCACAUUGGGACUGAGACACGGCCCAAACUCCUACGGGAGGCAGCAGUAGGGAAUCUUCCGCAAUGGACGAAAGUCUGACGGAGCAACGCCGCGUGAGUGAAGAAAGGUUUUCGGAUCGUAAAACUCUGUUGUCAGAGAAGAACAAGUUGGAGAGUAACUGCUCCAGCCUUGACGGUAUCUGACCAGAAAGCCACGGCUAACUACGUGCCAGCCGCUGC
rnacentral:rRNA from 1 species